UCCGCGAUCAUUAAGAAUUAGAAACUCAUUUUAUGGCCAUCACCCUGUUAUUGCGUGUGUGAUUUUAGCACUGCUGAAAAUUUAUUUACUGGCUUUAAAUACAAAACACCUACGAAAAGGUCUAGAUGCUUACAACGAUGUUAAUUACUUCAAACUGUGCAGCUCAUGAAAAGCUCUAAGGGACAGAUAAUUUUGCUUUUCCUGUCUCCCCUUCUCCCUCCCCCGCCUCUCACACCAUUCCUCUUUGAACUGAUUUUAGGUUUCUCCUGCAGCCACCAGCACCUAGGACACCCAGGGACUCUUUCGGGGAGCAAGAUCCUUCAAGGGGUGGAGAGCUUCAAAUGGGUUGACGUCCUGGGCUUCUCGUCAUGCUGAAUUCAGCUUUUCAUUUUCCAAGAACAAACACGAAAAUCUAAAACUUGGCAUUUUGAGGGCUGCUCCAUGCAUUUAUGUUCCCUCCUCCACCCCCUUCUGCACCCCCACCCCGUCAUGCAACAGGAGUGGCAUUAAAAAUGAGGAGAUUUUCUUGUUAUUAGCAAAUUUGACAUUUGCCUGAUGAAAUGCACAUAAAAUGUGAAAGCUACACCGUAUUCAGAAGAAAUGUCUUCACUCCAAUCCAAGCUAGCAAGAUGAAAUAAUUUAGAUAAAGGAAAUGCAGAGGUCCCCGUACAUCUCUACUGCAGAAUGCCUGGAUGGUAUUAUCGAUGAAAGAGCCAAAUAUUGUUGGGCUUUUACAGUGAUGGUAUUUUGACACAUGUGCAGUGUAUAGUGCUUCCUCUCUCACCUUAACUCCUUUGAUUGUGAAUCUAAACAUAACGCAUAGGUUCGAAUGCAGCAAUUUUUGUGUCAUUGGUCCAGCCUCUUUCUGGCAAGAUCUUGGGGCUGGCGCUUAAUUCCCUUUUAGGAAUUGUUAAACAAUUUCAAAAGUGUUCCUCCCCCCACAAGCAGGUUGAUUAUUUUAGUUUUCCCAUUUUUAAAGCUCAUCAAAUCCAUACUUUACCAAAACGAUGCUAAUUUUAAGACAUCAUCGAAAACACUCCACAGAUACAUACUGAAAACAUUUUAAUGGUUUUGUUUGUUUGGGGAUAUGAACCAAGGACAAUUAAAUUAAAAAGAGACUUUUAAAAGUUAGAGAUUGGCUUUUCAAAGCUUAUUAAAACCAGCGUGUUACAUGUCUGUCUCUGAAUUAGCUCUCCACACACUCGAUUGCCACCAUUAAAACUAGUUGUUUGGGUGCUGUUCUCUGUGCUGGUUCAGACCCUUUCUCAAAGCCGGUUCUUACUAGUUAUUAACUUGAAGCCUCUUUUCAUUGAAAUUAAAAAAAAAAUCAGCCUAGCCCAUGAAAGAAACAGUCACCAAAACAUGAACUAGCACAGCGAGACAGCAACAUUAAACCAUGAAAAGACCAACAGGUAAAAUAACCCCGGUAACAUCUAAAACACACUCGGGGAAAAAAAUCACAACAACAACACAGAAGCAGUCCAUUGAUUAUAUUUCAUGAAUGCCUGAAAACAAAUGUUUAAACAGUUUUCCGAAACAGCGCAGAAAACCGGGGCAUGCUCCACUGGCUGCGGUGACAAUAGUCUAUUGCAAUGUAAAACACGCUGGAGGAUAAAAAGGUGCUUUUUGUUACCAUUUUAUCAAAGCUGUUCAUCUUCGAGCUGCAGGCAGCAUUUUGCUGGAAUUGCAGAUAUUUCUCUGUCCAGGCUCCUUUGUUUGUGCAUCUCAUUUGCAUAUAUUUAUCUCCAGCUGAGGGUGCUUUCUGCUCAUUAAGGCCUCCCUUCACAUUAUUUCAUAAGCCAGCUGCUAAGAGGGAUUUCACCUGUGGUGAGUGAGAAAAGAGGGGUGAAAAACUAAAUUCUUCAUAAAAAAGGAAAUCUUCUGAGUCUCUUCCCCUAUAAAUGGGCACCAUUUGUGUUAAACAGCCUCUUGUCAUGAUAGAUGCCUCCAGAGGUCAGGGGUUAAAGUUGAUUUGAAGGUCAGCAGUAAAACAACAGACAAACCAGACGCCAAACUGGUUCCUUAGCUGUCGGUGGGAGCUGUGGUACAAACAGGUCUUGAACCUUUUUCAACCUCUAAUAAAACAGGGGAUGAAUCUGAAGUGGAUCAACCAGGCCCCUGAGGCAGCGGCACAGAAAAACACAAAUAAUAUCAAUAUCAGGCAGCCACGGGAAACAAUGGGACAUUUCUCCCUGCUACAUGCGUGCUGCUAUUGUUUCAAGGGCUGGGGAAUUAAUUCCACUUAUUUAUUUAAGGCGUGUCAACUCACUGCCUAAACCUGUUUCAGUGUCAAGAUGAAUAAAACUUUUAUGGCUCAUAAAAUAGAGCCAUUCAUCUCAA